rnacentral:rRNA from 1 species
GAACCUGCGGAGGGAUCAUUACAGAGUUUUCUAAACUCCCAACCCUAUGUGAACUUACCUUUGUUGCUUCGGCGGCGGAGGCUACCCUGCGGGAGAAUACCACUUAGUGGUUACCCUGUAGUUUCAGGUACAUCAGCUACCCGGUAGUCAUCCCCGCCGGCGGCCAACUAAACUCUGUUUUCUUUGGAAUUCUGAAUAACAAACUUAAUAAGUUAAAACUUUCAACAACGGAUCUCUUGGUUCUGGCAUCGAUGAAGAACGCAGCGAAAUGCGAUAAGUAAUGUGAAUUGCAGAAUUCAGUGAAUCAUCGAAUCUUUGAACGCACAUUGCGCCCAUUAGCAUUCUAGUGGGCAUGCCUGUUCGAGCGUCAUUUCACCACUUAAGCCUUGUUGCUUAGCGUUGGGAGCCUACGGCACGGCCCGUAGCUCCUUAAAGUGAUUGGCGGAGUUGGUUCUCACUCUAAGCGUAGUAAUUAUAUCUCGCUUCUGUAGUGGUCCCGGCCCCUGCCGUAAAACCCCUUAUACAAAGGUUGACCUCGGAUCAGGUAGGAAUACCCGCUGAACUUAAGCAUAUCAAUA